GCGAAGAAAAUGUAGGCACGAAACGACCAAUUGGUUUCUCGGUGUUGGUUACUCUCGCUUUUUUCCAAUACCCAAGAAAUUAAUAUGGUAUUUACGAAACCUAGAACAUAUGCUGCUGAGAUGAACGAAGAGUCUAGUAAAUAGAUGAUCUAAGAGAUCCAAAUGUUCAAAAUUCCUGGUAGAAAAAUACAUUCUGCCUUUGAAGAAGAAGAAUAUUACAUUUAUAUCAUACGACAAGGCCCCUGGAUAUAGAAAGACACAAUAGUGCAGACAUUUUCAAAUUAUUGAAUUUGGACUAUCCUUCAAUUUAUAAUAAAUGAUAACACAGCACAA